rnacentral:rRNA from 1 species
AUUGAACGCUGGCGGCAGGCCUAACACAUGCAAGUCGAGCGGCAGCGGGAAAGUAGCUUGCUACUUUUUGCCGGCGAGCGGCGGACGGGUGAGUAAUGCCUGGGAAAUUGCCCAGUCGAGGGGGAUAACAGUUGGAAACGACUGCUAAUACCGCAUACGCCCUACGGGGGAAAGCAGGGGACCUUCGGGCCUUGCGCGAUUGGAUAUGCCCAGGUGGGAUUAGCUUGUUGGUGAGGUAAUGGCUCACCAAGGCGACGAUCCCUAGCUGGUCUGAGAGGAUGAUCAGCCACACUGGAACUGAGACACGGUCCAGACUCCUACGGGAGCAGCAGUGGGGAAUAUUGCACAAUGGGGGAAACCCUGAUGCAGCCAUGCCGCGUGUGUGAAGAAGGCCUUCGGUUGUAAGCGACUUUCAGCGAGGAGGAAGGUUG